UGCCAGAUAGCUCAGUUGGUAGAGCACCUGACUAGAGAUUCAGGGGGCCUAGGUUCAUAUCCCGGUUAGGUAC
rnacentral:tRNA from 1 species